UAGCACUGGGUGAAUAGGGGCAAGGGAGUGGUUUCCACCAAUGGCGACCCAUGUCCAUGAGAAUCCGCCACUCAAGGACAUGCAUGCCACAGAGUUUGGAGGUGAUGCAGCUCUUGUGUAUCAUGCAUAUAUAUACAGAUCUGUAUGUAUAUAUAUCUCUCUCUCUUGAGGAAUAGGUGGCUACCUUAAGGAUUUAUCCUUUUUGGCGUAGUGGUAAAACCUUCCUACAAGAUUGCAGUUCUGUCAUCCUGUCUAGAUGCAGAUUUGAUAUCUGGGAAUUGAAAAGAGGCACUACCACGGUUCACUUUAUAUAAGUCGAACGGAAGGAAGGACAAAAGAGAUCUACUCUUACGAGUCAUAUACGAGCUUAUUUAUGGUGGUUCGAGUUAUCUGGUUCGUGUUUGAUACAUGGGCCCUUGAGCAAUACUCGAAACACCACUUACCUUCCUUCCGUAUGGAGAAUGUCACCAUUCAAUGGUUUGCGGAAAUCAGGUCUCUAAACCCCGACGUCAAUGGAUUACAUCACAUAAAAAACAGUC
rnacentral:sRNA from 1 species